rnacentral:lncRNA from 1 species
GAAGACAGCCUGCAUCGCUUUCAUCUGUCAAGGAUGGCAGGUGCCCUUGCUCCUCGCUGGGAUGCAGAGAGUCUGCUGCGCCGUCUCGGCUGGUCGAGGAUUCCUGACUUGCCACAAAGUCAGGGCAGUCGACGUCCACGGAUGUUGAUGAAGUCUGAUGCAGAGCCAAGCCGUCCACUGUGGGCACAUCGCAUGCCGCGCUGCAGCUGCUGUCGUCAAUGUCAUCCAGGCUCUGCGACGCGCUGACUGCCUCACCGCGACUAUGCUUCACCGGAGAUGGACGCUGGGCUUCCUGUCCAUGCUGUGCACUCCCCUGCUGCAAAUUUUCUGCUCCCUCCUCAUGCUGCGGCGAUGCAGGCGGCACAGAUGCACGGGUGCUGGCGUCCAGUGCUGACAGGGGCUCUGUUUGCAG